rnacentral:rRNA from 1 species
GUGGGGAAUAUUGCGCAAUGGGGGCAACCCUGACGCAGCAACGCCGUGUGUGUGAUGAAGGCCUUCGGGUCGUAAAACACUGUCAGCAGGGAAGAUGGUUUCACAUGUUAAUACCAUGUGGGAUUGACGGUACCUGCGGAGGAAGCACCGGCUAACUCUGUGCCAGCAGCCGCGGUAAGACAGAGGGUGCAAGCGUUGUUCGGAAUUAUUGGGCGUAAAGCGCACGUAGGCGGCUUGUUAAGCUGGAUGUGAAAUCCCUGGGCUCAACCCAGGAAGUGCAUCCAGAACUGGCAGGCUUGAAUCCUGGAGGGGGUGGUGGAAUUCCCGGUGUAGAGGUGAAAUUCGUAGAUAUCGGGAGGAACACCAGUGGCGAAGGCGACCACCUGGACAGAGAUUGACGCUGAGGUGCGAAAGCGUGGGUAGCAAACAGGAUUAGAAACCCCAGUAGUCC